UGAGGAAUAUUGGUCAAUGGACGGAAGUCUGAACCAGCCAAGUAGCGUGCAGGAUGACGGCCCUAUGGGUUGUAAACUGCUUUUGUAUGGGGAUAAAGUUAGGGACGUGUCCCUAUUUGCAGGUACCAUACGAAUAAGGACCGGCUAAUUCCGUGCCAGCAGCCGCGGUAAUACGGAAGGUCCAGGCGUUAUCCGGAUUUAUUGGGUUUAAAGGGAGCGUAGGCUGGAGAUUAAGUGUGUUGUGAAAUGUAGACGCUCAACGUCUGAAUUGCAGCGCAUACUGGUUUCCUUGAGUACGCACAACGUUGGCGGAAUUCGUCGUGUAGCGGUGAAAUGCUUAGAUAUGACGAAGAACUCCGAUUGCGAAGGCAGCUGACGGGAGCGCAACUGACGCUUAAGCGCGAAGGUGCGGGUAUCAAAAAGG
rnacentral:rRNA from 1 species